UUGACUGAUUUGCUGAAAAUACAGGAAUUACGAAAGAUACUUGAUGAUGAUGUUGACGGGGUGGUUGACUUCUUCUAAUCUGAGGCCUCCUUUGUCUCCCACUGGAAACCGCAUUAGCUUCGCCGUCCUUCUUCUUGCUGAAAUUGUUGUCGUACCUCUUGCUGGAUGACACCUCCUCUCUAAACAACCGUCCUUCUCGG
rnacentral:lncRNA from 1 species